AUUGAUUUCAAAUAUUUAUCAUAUAUCUUCUCUCAAAUACCAAUAGCAAAUCAACAGACCCACAAAAGAGGAAUAUACCAUCUUUAAGCUUACAAAUCCACAUUUAACCGGGAGAUAGGGAAUUCAACAUAAACUCCCUCCCUCGAGAAACACCAGAUAUUUUGACAUUAAUGUCACUUUCUUGAAUUGGUAGAAUCCCAUUAACUGACUAUUUAAAAUUCAAUCAGCAUCCCAUCAAUAUAACACUCAAACAAAUACAUACAAAAAUCACCUCAUUAACACCAAUAACAAGAUCCUGAACUGCCAAUCAAGGGCCAUCACAAGAACUCAAUUUUACAAACACACAUGCCAAUGAAUAAUAUAAAUUAUCGAGAAAGGAUAAAAGGGUUAACCGUCAGAGCAUUUAGCCAUAUUAUCCUGGGCAGAUGAUUUGAAGGCAGCACGGGGAUCCUUGCCAUUGAUUCCCCCCUUAGCAAAGGCAGCAGAUGAUGAGGAAUGAGAUCGCUCCAUUUGUUUAUCUAGGGCUUCCUGGAUUCUCUUAAGAUUCGCCACGUGUCCCAUUUCCCCGUUCCCGGCUCCUCCUCCUCUUUCUCUAUACAUGAUAAUAAAGUGCGUAUAUCACGUAUGAAUACGCCGAAUGGACGAAAUAAAUCUCUCAAUUGCGAGAAAGGGUGAAGAGAGUGAAAGUUAGGGGUUUUUGUUUGGGGGUCAAAGAGGGAGAGGAUUAUCCCAUUCUCUCUCUGAUUUUUGUAAUCUGAUUUUGUGAAUAUAUAUAGAUGUAUCUAUAUGUACGCAUAUGUCUGUAUGAAAAAGUUGUGUUCGGUAGAUUGCGGGGUGCGGUGGGCGUGGGUUGGUUGAUGACGUAGAGGAGUGGUAAUACGAACAGGCGGGAACAGCUCAGCUUAGCUUUGCA
rnacentral:lncRNA from 1 species